UGAAGAAGUCAAUCAAAUAGAAAGAGCAAAGCGCUUUCGUUCCUUGGAAAAGUGCAGGACAGAACAAAGCACACGCACUCUUUGCCAACUGUCUGUAGAAACCGGCUCUGUUCGCUCAUGCGCAGAGAAAAGCAGGCCCCGGACGGUGUGGGCAGGAGCCCGAGGAAUGGCCCCCCAGGGUCGCGGGCCUGUGUUUCCCGCACCUUUCAUCCUUUGUGCUCCUCCGCGAUUCCCAUGCAGAAGAACGCGCCAGCUCCUCGCUGAACCCUCCUCUUUCAGCCCCGCUCGGAAGGCGGGGCGCCCUGCAUAUUCAUGAGGCGUUUCCCGGGAGUCGGCGCCGCUGGCCCCAGCGAUGGUCAGGAAUGCGUGCCUGCGCCCCCGGAGCCGCGGGGACGCGCGCUCUGUGCGCUCGGCGCGGCGCCCGGCGGUUCCCGGGAAGGAGGAGAGGGCGCGGAGGGGAGCGGGCCGGCCGCGACCGGGAAGGGGACAAGCGGUGCCGCGGCCCCCAGGGCAGAGCCGAGCUGGUCCUCCAAAUGCAAGCCGCGCGCAGGCGGUGGGGACGCGCCGCAGCCGGGGUCGCGGCACAGCCGCAGCGCGCGCCCGCGCCCCGCGCUGGAGGGAAAGGAAGGACAGCUGGACCUGGGAAUAAGUAGUUGACGAGGAAACAGUGCCGACCAGCAUUUCCUUCCUACCCGUCCCUGCCGCGUCGCGAGUCGGCCCUGCGAGGCCCUGUUGGACUUACUGCACGCCCGUGUGCGACGCCCUUUCGCUGUCUCGGAGACGCCGUUUUCACUAGGCUAGCUAAAUCCCACUCUAAAGAGAAUUCUCCCUAAGUGUGUUUGCAGGAAAUUUUAUCUAGUUAUGGCUGAGAGUGUAAAUCAUCUUUAAUUAUAGGUAUAUCGCACACCUGCUAGAGACCCCGCUGGAAGCAUGGUACGAUGCAUGAAGGAGCCAGCCACAGCAUCCCAGGCCUGCCACAGGACAGGAGGCCCUAGAGCUGUCCUCUGACUGUCCACAGGAGAGGCCAGGAUACACAUGAGGAAGUGCAACUGCAUUACCACGGAGUUUCUUGCAAACAGAAAAGCAUUGCAGAACGACACCUUUCCUCAAACCAAAGCUGAUCCCAAUUCGUGUUAAAGCAGCAAAGUACAAGUAAACAUAUCUAUAAGGAGUCUUAACUCAAAACUGAAAGUAAAAAUAACACUUUUGUACUGCCUUUUUUCUCACAAAGUUUUAUCUCAUGGAAUGAUUUUUGUUUCUCAAACGUGUUUAGAAUAUUUGACCCCUGAAACCUUCACCUAACUCAUUGCAAGGUUUUACAACACUGUCCAUUUUGAAAUGUUUCCACAUGCUUCUCAAACCUGCAGCCUAGCCCCCAGCUGUUUCCCUGGAGGCUCUGGGUGGAAUUGGCUGCCACUCACAGUGAUAUUUGUCCAACCCCAAACUGCUUUUGCCCUGGACGGUGACACAUGUUUCACAGCUGAGCCUACAACCACAUUGAAUCUAAAAGUUUACAGGCUAAAUUCCAAAUUCCAAACUACCCUGACCUGUCUCCCUCUAUUCUCUGACUACAUGUACACGCACAAACUUGUCUGAAAAAAGUUGGUUUGUAAAUAGCAGAGAAACUGUCCCAGAGGUAUCCCCACAAUGAAAUAAUCCCUUUACUUUGUGCACAAGACAACCAGUUAGUUUUGUGUAAAAAAGACAACAUUUUCUUUUAAAUUUUUUUUGAUGAGUCAACUUAAUUUAAUUUCAUGGUUUGUUUUUAUUGGAUAAUCACUGAGUUAUCUGCAUAGUUGAAUCUCAAAUAUGAACUUUCAUCAUCUAAGGAAGAAUUUGCAUUGAAUAAUGUUUUAAGUUCCAACCAUCUCACUGUGAUGGAUAAUUAAGCCUGUGGUUAAAUGCAGCUAACUUCCUAACUGCUUCAGGUUUGAAAGCCUGCUGAAGUGCCUCUUGGCCUGAGGCCAUCAGAAUCUGGGCUUCUGGGUUCCCUUCCUCUACAGUCUGGGCCAGUCUGCUUUAGACCGUCUUGUGUGUUGAACUUCCUAAACCAGAAACAAAAAUGCUACGUGAAAGCCAGUGAUCCGACCAAGACUUUUGCUUCUUUCACCCCUGUACAGUAUUGCACAAAGACAGGAAAACUAGGGCAGAUCAAAUUUGGAGCCUGCCAGCCUCUGGUACUUGCCUUCAAGGACCGUUGAAGCCUUUUAAAGAGGUGCUAUAAUUUGGUUUUGGGGCAGCCUUCUUUCCACCAUUGUUGUAUCUACCAUUGGUUUUUCCAGUAAGCAGUUGAGUGCCAGUUCCUGGCAUUUCUUAAUUGUUAAAAGCAACACAUAAAGGAGAACUAUGAAGACUAAGACUUAAAUAAUCCACAAUUUUACGCAGAAUUCAUCUAUAAAAUCAUUCAGUCUUUCUAAACUAUGUGAAUGGAAUUUGUUUGCAUAAAUGUAAUUCCACCAAAGGCUUCUAAACUGUGAACUAAUUACACGAUCUAAUUUUGGCGCCUUCCCAAAGUUAAUCUCUGAAUUAGUUAUCUUUUGCUUUUUCUUUUAUGUGUCAUCUUGCUUUUUCACAUUUCAUUAGGAAUUAAAAACCAAGAGAGACAAAGUACAAGCUAUUUAUAUUUUAUCAGGUCUCAAGAUAAUGGAAAAUACUUUAUCCCAGUUAGAACUGCAGAAGUCAGUUGAUUCCUAAACCAAUAUUUUGGCACGAUAUGAAAGAACAAAUAAUUAUGGGCAGCAAUAUCUUAAAACAUUUUUUAAAAAUGAUCCCAAAGAGGACAGUUAUUGCACGGUUUUCAUUUUUAAUUGAAAUGAACCUCUGUGGCACAUGUGUCUGUGUGUGUGUGUGUGUGUGUGUGUGUGUGUGCAGUUUUCCAAAGUGUGCGGUUCUAGGGGGGCAAUAGAUGCUAUGUCGAGACCUGAGACAUGAGUUCAAGCUCUUUUCCUUCAUGUGCUGAUUUACAGCAGGGAAGUCAGCUAAUGUCUCUCAACCUCAGUUUUCUCAUGUAAAAUUUGAGCUAAUAAUACUUAUUCACUCUGGUUCAAGGGCUCUUCACAAAAAUUAAAGGAGAUAGUCUAUGUGAAACUUUGUGUUAAUUAUACACAUAGUGUCCUAAUAAAGUCCUGGUGAAUACUAUCAUUUUAGCAACAACUCCAUAGAUUUGGGGCAAUUUAUUGAACUCUACUAAAUUUCAUCACUUGUGAAAGUGGGGUUACUGUUUGAAGGAUUGUGGGGAUAGAAGUGUUAAUUGCAGUGUAACAUUGAACAUGGGUAUAUUAGUUAUGACUUUUUUUUUCAAGUAACAUGAACUUGAAAUAGUUGAAGCCAAAAGUGGGGAGGUAGUUAUUCAGAGUCUCAAGUGUCUCUGGAAAGGGCAAGGAGAUAGCUGAGCCUUAGAAGUCACUGGAGCUGGAAGCUGGAAGCUGGAAGCUGGAUGCUAACGAGACUUCUCUUUUCCCACUGCGCACUGGUCUUCUCUCACGCUGUCCAUGGAAGGCUGGACACAGCUCUGCAACUCCUGCCCCCUCAUCUCACAACUCUGCUACAAGGUGAAAAAAUCCUGGGCUGAAUUGCCCACCUCCUCGCCCAAGCCCUAAGCCUGGUGGUGCUUGUUGAAAAGUCCCAGGAAAAGGCAGCAGCGUCUGGGCUGGGCUGGGGCCCUGGAUGGGAGCAGUAAGCUCACAGACAGCCGCAGGUCGAUCCCCGCUGAAACCACGUUGCUAUUGCCCUGUUGCUAUUUUAGGAAGCAGCGCUAUUUCAGAGAAUUUCUCAUGUUUAAAAUUGUAUUUGUUUACUGCCUAUUAAAUCAUGCGUAAG